UCUCCGUAGGUGAACCUGCGGAGGGAUCAUUACUGAGUGAGGGCUCCGGCCCGACCUCCAACCCCAUGUGAACCGAAACCUGUUGCUUCGGGGGCGACCCUGCCGUUCGGCGCGGCGCCCCCGGAGGCUCAUCAAACCCUGCGUAACUAAGUCGUCGGAGUUUAAACAAAUUAAACAAAACUUUCAACAACGGAUCUCUUGGUUCGGGCAUCGAUGAAGAACGCAGC
rnacentral:misc_RNA from 1 species